UACGUAGGGUCCGAGCGUUGUCCGGAAUUAUUGGGCGUAAAGAGCUCGUAGGCGGUCUGUCACGUCGGCUGUGAAAACACGGGGCUCAACUCCGUGCCUGCAGUCGAUACGGGCAGACUAGAGUUCGGUAGGGGAGACUGGAAUUCCUGGUGUAGCGGUGAAAUGCGCAGAUAUCAGGAGGAACACCGGUGGCGAAGGCGGGUCUCUGGGCCGAUACUGACGCUGAGGAGCGAAAGCGUGGGGAGCGAACAGG
rnacentral:rRNA from 1 species